GAAGCUUGAAAUUUUUCUUUGCAAAGAAAAAAUCAAAUUUUGUUUGCGGGUAAAAAAUAUGAAAGUUUUCCGAUUAUUACGAAUGUUUAUCACAAUUUAAGGAGUAUGGUGGUAGUUUAUGGUACUUGGGCCUUUCUUUCCAACAAUUUAAUAAUCUCUUGUCAAUCUUAUAUCAUUUCCAACAAUUGACAUAAAGUGGCAGUCGUUUUGAUGGAAUCAAAAUCAAUUUUAUUACAACUUCAUGUCUUUUCCUCAAGCUGGUUGAAUGUAUGGAACAGUCAACCUUUAUUGCUCAAACUGGUUAAUCCAUAUUUCAUUUCUAAUUCAAUAUAAUGCAGGUUAACAUGAUGACCAGAAGAUCAAACAGACUGAACGGAGGACAAAAAAGAUGAAUAAAGUGGAACGAUAAUCACUGGUUUUACUACAUGGAUAUUGGACAGAGAAGAACUGUUCGGAAUCAAGCCUUUUUUUCUGUCCAUCAUACUGGUCACACAAAUAAAAGCAAAUACAUAAUGAAAGAGUUGGACUUUUUGUUCCCUCUCCACACUUUGACGAUGGUGAUGUUCACGCCUGGAUUGGUUAACAAACAGUGAAGUCUUCGAGGCUAUUGGAAAUUUUUGUUAUACUGAAAGAGUGGGAGCUUAUUGAGUGAUGUAAAAAUGUCAGCAUAAGCACAGCAAAAGGCAAAGUAAAAUAAGCUGCCAGGGAGAGGCAGAGAUGAUGACGAUGAUGAUGCUGUUGAUGGUUAAGGUAAACUCGAGGUAUAGAUUCG